GCUGAGGAGUCCCAAAAUAGGACGAAACGGCCGUCC
rfam:Schistosoma margrebowiei strain Zambia genome assembly, scaffold: SMRZ_contig0000216